CACAACCAAGUCCAAUCACGUCCGAGCGGGGGAAGCCGGUGCGAAUCCGGCGCUGACCCGCAACCGUGAGCCGUCCCCGCCCGGGGAGGGCCCAGCCGGAGCACCCGCGCGGACGGGAGCGGCUCUU
rnacentral:ncRNA from 17 species